AGUGAACGCUGGCGGUAGGCCUAACACAUGCAAGUCGAACGGCAGCACAGUGAGAGCUUGCUCUUACGGGUGGCGAGUGGCGGACGGGUGAGGAAUACAUCGGAAUCUACUUUUUCGUGGGGGAUAACGUAGGGAAACUUACGCUAAUACCGCAUACGCCCUACGGGUGAAAGCAGGGGAUCUUCGGACCUUGCGCGAUUGAAUGAGCCGAUGUCGGAUUAGCUAGUUGGCGGGGUAAAGGCCCACCAAGGCGACGAUCCGUAGCUGGUCUGAGAGGAUGAUCAGCCACACUGGAACUGAGACACGGUCCAGACUCCUACGGGAGGCAGCAGUGGGGAAUAUUGGACAAUGGGCGCAAGCCUGAUCCAGCCAUACCGCGUGGGUGAAGAAGGCCUUCGGGUUGUAAAGCCCUUUUGUUGGGAAAGAAAAGCAGCAGGUUAAUACCCCGCUGUUCUGACGGUACCCAAAGAAUAAGCACCGGCUAACUUCGUG
rnacentral:rRNA from 1 species